rnacentral:lncRNA from 1 species
GCUAAAUUUUGUAUAUUAUUAUCAAGAAAUGAGAAGCUUGAUAGUGUUAUUAGUCUUCUUGUUUUGCUAAAUUUUGUAUAUUAUUAUCAAGAAAUGAGAAGGUUGAUAGUGUUAUUAGUGUUCUUGUUUUGCUAAAUUUUGUAAAGAGAGAGAUUAACUCUAUUAUGUGAGUGUAUUCUUGCCUCGUUUUUUUCUUGAGCAAUAUCUAUCUGUAUAUUGUAUCCAAGAAAUGAGAAAGAUUGAUAGUGUUUAUUGUGUUCUUGUUUGCUAAAUUUUAUAUAUUUGUUAUCAAAGAAAUGAGAAGAUUGAUAGUGUUAUUAGGUUCUUGUUUUGCUAAAUUUGUAUAUUGUUAUCAGAAAUGAGAAGAUUGAAGUGUUAUUAGUGUUUUUUGUUUUGAAAUUUUGUAUAUUGUUAUCAAGAAAUGAGAAGAUUGAUAGUGUUAUUAGUGUUCUUGUUUUGCUAAAUUUUUUAUAUUGUUAUCAGAAAGAGAAGAUUGAUAGUGUUAUUAGUGUUCUUGUUUUGCUAAUUUUUGUAUAUUGUUAUCAAGAAAUGAGAAGAUUGAUAGUGUUAUUAGUGUUCUUGUUUUGUAAAUUUUGUAUAUUGUUAUCAAGAAAUGAGAAAUUGAUAGUGUUAUUAGUGUUCUUGUUAUCAAGAAAUGUUUGACGCUGACCCUUUAAGAAUCUCUCAAAAAUGAAAGGCAUUGCAUGGGAAUUCUCCAUGGCUUUUUGUUCAGUCAAAUAAGGAUAUGGAAGAUCACAACAGUGAUGUAAGUCAUGACGCCUGUUCUUUUGAAUUUAUGAUGGCUUCAAAGGCCACACCACUGCUUCCUAUAUCGUACGCACAUCUUUAGGACUCUUUUACGUGAGUUAUUUUUUGCUUCUUUUUUCUUAGCAUACUAAUCUGUGUAUAUUGUUAUCAAGAAAUGAGAAGAUUGAUAGUGUUAUUAGUGUUCUUGUUUUGCUAAAUUUUGUAUAUGUUAUGCAAAGAAAUGAGAAGAUUGAUAGUGUUAUUAGUGUUCUUGUUUGCAAAAUUUGUAUAUUGUUAUCAAGAAAUGAAAAGAUUGAUAGUGUAUAGUGUUCUUGUUUGCUAAAUUUUGUAUAUUGUUAUCAGAAAUGAGAAGAUUGAUAUGUUUUAUUAGUGUUCUUGUUUUGCUAAUUUUGUAUAUUGUUAUCAAGAAAUGAGAAGAUUGAUAGUGUUAUUAGUGUUCUGUUUUGCUAUUUUGAAUAUUGUAUCAAGAAAUGAGAAGAUUGAAAGUGUUAUAGUGUUCUUGUUUGCUAAAUUUUGUAUUUUUAUCAAGAAAUGAGAAGAUUGAUAGUGUUAUUUGUGUUUUUGUUUUGCUAAAUUUUGUAUAUUGUUAUCAAGAAAUGAAGAUUGAUAGUGUUAUUAGUGUCUUGUUUUGCUAAAUUUUGUAUAUUGUUAUCAAGAAAUAGGAAGGUUGAUAGUGUUAUUAGUGUUUCUUGUUUGCUAAUUUUGUAUAUUGUUAUCAAGAAAUGAGAAGAUUGAUAGUGUUAUUAGUGUUCUUGUUAUCAAGAAACGUUUUGACGCUGACCCUUUAGCAAAAUCUCUCAAAAUGAAAGGCAUUGCCAUGGGGAAUUCUCCAUGGCUUUUAUUCAGUCAAAUAAGGAUAUGGAAGAUCACAACCAAGUCGAUGUAAGCCAUGCCGCACUGUUCGUUUGAAUUUAUGAUGGCUCAAAGGCCACACCACUGCUUCCUAUAUCGUACGCACAUCUUUAGACUCUAUUAUGUGAGUUAUUUCUUUGCUCUUUUUCUUAGCAUACUAUCUGUAUAUUUUUCAAGAAAUGAGAAGAUUGAUAGUGUUAUUGUGUUCUUGUUUUGCUAAAUUUUUUGUUAUUUAUCAAGAAAUGAGAGAUUGAUAGUGUUAUUAGGUUCUUGUUUUGCUAAAUUUUGUAUAUUGUUAUCAAGAAAUGAGAAGAUUGAGUGUUAUUAGUGUUUUUUGUUUUGUAAAUUUGUAUAUUGUUAUCAAGAUGAGAAGAUUGAUAGUGUUAUUAGUGUUCUUGUUUUGCUAAAUUUUGUAUAUUGUUAUCAAGAAAGAGAAGAUUGAUAGUGUUAUUAGUGUUCUUGUUUUCUAAAUUUUGUAUAUUGUUAUCAAGAAAUGAGAAGAUUGAUAGUGUUAUUAGUGUUCUUGUUUUGAUAAAUUUUGUAUAUUGUUAUCAAGAAAUGAGAAAUAUUGAUAGUGUUAUUAGUGUUCUUGUUAUCAAGAAACGUUUGACGCUGACUCCUUUAGCAAAAAUCUCUCAAAAUGAAAGGCAUUGCCAUGGGGAAUUCUCCAUGGCUUCUGUUCAGUCAAAUAAGGAUAUGGAAGAUCACAACCAAGUCGAUGUAAGUCAUGACGCACUGUUCUUUAAUUUAUGAUGGCUUCAAAGCCACACCACUGCUUCCUAUAUUCGUACGCACAUCUUUAGGAUUUUAUUACGUGAGUUAUUUCUUUGCUUCUUUUUUCUUAGCAUACUAAUCUGUAUAUUGUUAUCAAGAAAUGAGAAGAUUGAUAGUGUUAUAGUGUUCUUGUUUUGCUAAAUUUGUAUAUUGUUAUCAGAAUAAUGGAAGAUUGAUAGUGUUAUUAGUGUUCUUGUUUUGCUAAAUUUUUGUAUAUUGUUAUCAAGAAAUGAGAAGAUUGAUAGUGUAUUAGUGUUCUUGUUUUGCUAAUUUUUUGAUAUGUAUCAAGAAAUGAGAAGAUUGAUAGUGUUUAUAGUGUUCUUGUUUGCUAAAUUUUGAUAUUGUUAUCAAGAAAUGAGAAGAUUGAUAGUGUUAUUGUGUUUUGUUUGCUUAAAUUUUGUAUAUUGUUAUCAAGAAAUGAGAAGAUUGAUAGUGUAUUAGUUGUCUUUUUGCUAAAUUUUGUAUAUUGUUAUCAAGAAAUAGAAGUUGAUAGUGUUAUUAGUGUUCUUGUUUGCUAAUUUUGUAUAUUGUUAUCAAGAAAUGAGAAGAUUGAUAGUGUAUAGUGUUAUUAGUNNNNNNNNNNUAGUUAUUGUAUGCAAAAAUGAGAAGAUUGAUAGUGUUAUUAGUUUUCUUGUUUUGUAAAUUUUGUAUAUUGUUAUCAAGAUGAGAAGAUUGAUAGUGUUAUUAGUGUUCUUGUUUUGCUAAAUUUUGUAUAUUGUUAUAAGAGAGAAGAUUGAUAGUGUUAUUAGUGUUUUAUGAUAGUGUUAUUAGUGUUCUUGUUAUCAAGAAACGUUUGACGCUGACCCUUUAGCAAAUUCUCUCAAAAAUGAAAGGCAUUGCCAUGGGGAAUUCUCCAUGGCUUCUAUUCAGUCAAAUAAGGAUGUGGAAGAUCACAACCAAGUCGAUGUAUGUCAUGACGCACUGUUCAUUUGAAUUUGUGAUGGCUUCAAAGGCCACACCACUACUUCCUAUAUUCGUACGCACAUCUUUAGGACUCUAUUACGUGAGUUAUUUCUUUGCUUCUUUUUUCUUAGCAUACUACUAUGUAUAUUGUUAUCAAGAAAUGAGAAGAUUGAUAGUGUUAUUAGUGUUCUUGUUUUGCUAAAUUUUGUAUGUUGUUAUCAAAAAAUAAGAAGAUUGAUAGGGUUAUUAGUGUUCUUGUUUUGCUAAAUUUUGUAUAUUGUUAUCAAGAAAUAAGAAGAUUGAUAGUGUUAUUAGUGUUCUUGUUUUGCUAAAUAUUGUAUAUUGUUAUCAAGAAAUGAGAAGCUUGAUAGUGUUAUUAGUCGUCUUGUUUUGCUAAAUUUUGUAUAUUAUUAUCAAGAAAUGAGUAGAUUGAUAGUGUAUUAGUGUUCUUGUUUUGCUAAAUUUGUAUAUGUUAUCAAGAAAUGAGAAGAUUGAUAUGUUAUUAGUGUUCUUGUUUUGCUAAAUUUGUAUAUUGUUAUCAAGAAAUGAGAAGAUUGAUAGUGUUUAUUAGUGUUCUUGUUUUGCUAAUUGUAUAUUGUUAUCGAAGAUGAAAGAUUGAUAUGUUAUUAGUGUUCUUGUUUUGCUAAAUUUUGUAUAUUGUUAUCAAGAAAUGAGAAAGAUUGAUAGUGUUAUUAGUGUUCUUGUUUGCUAAAUUUUGUAUAUUGUUAUCAAGAAAUGAGAAGAUUGAUAGUGUUAUUAGUGUUCUUGUUUUGCUAAAUUUGUUAUAUGUUAUCAAGAAAUGAGAAGAGUAUAGUGUUAUUAGUGUUCUUGUUUGCUAAAUUUUGUAUAUUGUUUCAAGAAAUAGAAGAUUGAUAGUGUAUUAUGUUCUUGUUUUGCUAAAUUUUGUAUAUUGUUAUCAAGAAAUGAGAAGAUUGAUAGUGUUAUUAGUGUUCUGUUUUUGCUAAUAUUGUAUAUUGUUAUCAAGAAAUGAGAGAAGAUUGAUAGUGUUAUUAGUUUCUGUUUUGCUAAAUUUUGUAUAUUGUUAUCAAAGAAUGAGAAGAUUGAUAGUUUAUAUGUUCUUGUUUUGCUAAAAUUUGUAUAUUGUUAUCAAGAAAUGAGAAAGAUUGAUAGUGUUAUUGUGUUCUUUUUUUCUAAAUUUUGUAUAUUUUUAUCAGAAAUGAGAAGAUGAUAGGUUAUUAUGUUCUGUUUUGCUAAAUUUGUAUAUUAUACAAGAAAUGAGAGAUUGUAGUGUAUUAGUGUUCUUGUUUUCUAAAUUUUGUAUAUUGUAUCAAGAAAUGAGAAGAUUGAUAGUGUUAUUAGUGUUCUUGUUUUGCAAAAUUUGUAUAUGUUAUCAAGAAAUGAGAGGAUUGAUAGUGUUAUUAGUGUUCUUUUUGCUAAAUUUUGUAUAUUUAUACAGAAAUGAGAAGAUUGAUAGUGUUAUUAGUGUUCUUGUUUUGCUAAAUUUUGUAUAUUGUUAUCAAGAAAUGAGAAGAUUGAUAGUGUUAUUAGUGUUUUGUUUUGCUAAAUUUUGAUAUUGUUAUCAAGAAAUAGAAAGAUUGAUAGUGUUAUUAGUGUUCUUGUUUUGCUAAAUUUGUAUAUUGUUAUCAAAAUGAGAAGAUUGAUAGUGUUAUUAGUGUUUUGUUUUGCUAAAUUUUAUAUUGUUAUCAAGAAAUGAGAAGAUUGAUAGGUUAUUAGGUUUCGUUUUGCUAAAUUUUGUAUAUGUUAUCAAGAAAUGAGAAGAUUGAUAGGGUUAUUAUGUUCUUUUGUUUUGCUAAAUUUUGUAUAUUUAUCAAGAAAUAAGAAGAUUGAUAGUGUUAUUAGUGUUCUUGUUUUGCUAAAUUUUGUAUAUUGUUAUCAAGAAAUGAGAAGUUUGAUAGUGUUAUUAGUGUCUUGUUUUGCUAAAUUUGUAUAUUUUAUCAAGAAAUGAGAAGUUGAUAGUGUUAUUAGUGUUCUUGUUUUGUAAAUUUGUAUAUGUUAUCAAGAAAUGAGAAGAUUGAUAGUGUUAUUAGUGUUCUUGUUUUGCUAAAAUUUGUAUAUGUUAUCAGAAAUGAGAAGAUUGAUAUUGUUAUUAGUGUUCUUGUUUUGCUAAAUUUGUAUAUUGUUAUCAAGAAAUGAGAAGAUUGAUAGUGUUAUUAGUGUUCUUGUUUGCUAAAUUUUGUAUAUUGUUAUCAAGAAAUGAGAAGAUUGAUAGUGUUAUUAGUGUUCUUGUUUUGCUAAAUUUUGUUUAUUGUUUAUCAAGAAAUGAGAAGAUUGAUAGUGUUAUUAGUGUUCUUGUUUUGCUAAAUUUUAUAUUGUUAUCAAGAAAUAGAAGAUUGAUAGUGAUUAGUGUUUUUUUUGCUAAAUUUUGUAUAUUGUUAUCAAGAAAUGAGAAGAUUGAUAGUGUUAUUAGUGUUCUGUUUUUCUAAAUUUUAUAUUGUUAUCAAGAAAUGAGAAGAUUGAUAGUGUUAUUAGUUCUUGUUUUGCUAAAUUUUGUAUAUUGUUAUCAAGAAAUGAGAAGAUUGAUAGUUAUUAGUGUUCUUGUUUUGCUAAAUUUUGUAUAUUGUUAUCAAGAAAUGAGAAGAUUGAUAGUGUUAUUAGUGUUCUUUUUUCUAAAUUUUGUAUAUUUUAUCAGAAAAGAGAAGAUUGAUAGUGUUAUUAUGUUCUUGUUUUGUAAAUUGUAUAUUUUAUCAAGAAAUGAGAAGAUUGAUAGUGUUAUUAGUGUUCUUGUUUUCUAAAUUUGUAUAUUGUUAUCAAGAAAUGAGAAGAUUGAAUAUGUUAUUAGUUCUUGUUUGCAAAAUUUGUAUAUUGUUAUCAAGAAAUGAGAGAUUGAUAUGUUAUUAUGUUCUUUUUUGCAAAUUUGUAUAUUAACAAGAACAUGAGAAGAUUGAUAGUGUUAUUAGUGUUCUUGUUUUGCUAAAUUAUGUAUAUUGUUAUCAAGAAAUGAGAAGAUUGAUAUUGUUAUUAGUGUUCUUGUUUUGCUAAAUUUUAUAAAUUGUUAUCAAGAAAUGAGAAGAUUGAUAGUGUUAUUAGUGUUCUUGUUUAUGUAUAUUGUUAUCAAGAAAUAAGAAGAUUGAUAUUGUUAUUAGUGUUCUUGUUUUGCUAAAUUUUGUAUAUUGUUAUCAAGAAACGAGAAGAAUGAUUGUUUUAUUAGUCUUCUUGUUUUGCUAAAUUUUGUAUAUUGUUAUCAAGAAAUGAGAAGAUUAAUAGGGUUAUUAGUGCUCUUGUUUUGCAAAAUUUUGUAUAUUGUUAUCAAGAAAUGAGAAGAUUGAUAGUGUUAUUAGUGUUCUAGUUUUGCUAAAUUUUGUAUAUUUUUAUCAAGUAAUGAGAAGGUUGAUAGUGUUAUUAGUGUUCUUGUUUUGCUAAAUAUUGUAUAUUGUUAUCAAGAAAUGAGAAGAUUGAUAAUGUUAUUAGUGUUCUUGUUAUCAAGAAACGUUUGACGCUGACCCUUUAGCAAAAUCUCUCAAACAUGAAAGGCAUUGCCAUGGGGAAUUCUCCAUGGCUUCUAUUCAGUCAAAUAAGGAUAUGGAAUAUCACAACAAAGUCGAUGUAAGUCAUGAUGCACUGUUCGUUUGAAUUUAUGAUGGCUUCAAAGGCCACACCACAGCUUCCUAUAUUCGUACGCACAUUAUUAGGACUCUAUUACGUGAGUUAUUUCUUUGCUUCUUUUUUCUUAGCAUACUAAUAUGUAUAUUGUUAUCAAGAAAUGAGAAGAUUGAUAGUGUUAUUAGUGUUCUUGUUUUGCUAAAUUUUGUAUAAAGACCCGAAAUAUUAGAAGAACUCUGAUGAGGAUUCGAUUAGCUUUCUGUGGUUUAUGCUAAAAUUUUUUAUAUUGUUAUCCAAGAAAUGAAAAGAUUGAUAGUGUUAUUAAGUGUUCCUUGUUAUGAAAUUUUUAUAUUGGUUAUCAAAGAAUUGAGAAGAUUGAUAGUGUUAAUUUAUGUUGUUCUUGUUUGCCCUAAAAUUUGUAAUAAGUGUUAUCAAGAAAGGUAAGAUUGAUAGUGUUAAGUGUACUUUGCGUUUUGCGAAACUACUUGUAUGUCGUUGACUAUCCAGAAGUAAGUUGGGGAUAGAUAAAGAUUGAUAGUGCCCCUAUUAGUCGUUUUUGUUUUGCCUAAAUUUUGUAUAUUGUUAAACAAGAAAUGAGGAAAAGAUUGAUGAGAGCACACGCUAGUUUUUUAGUGAUUCUUGUUUUUGCUAAAUUUGUAUAUGGUUAAUCAAAUUGUAGAAGAUUGAUAGUGUUAUUAGUGUUCUUAGUUUUAGCUUAAAAUUUGGUACUAUUGUAUGAAGUAUAAUUGAGAAGAUGGGAUAGUGUAUAUUAGUUUUUCUUAGGGAGUUUUGCCCUAAAUUUUUUUAUGUAUUGCUUAAAACAAACACUUAGAAAUUCGAAUCUGUUAUUAGUUGUUCUUGUUUUGCUAAUUUUUUAUAUUAGUAUAUCACAGAAAUGGAAAAAGAUUGAUAGUGUUAUUAGUGUACUUCUUGUUAUGCUAAAUUUUGCUAUAAAUUGUUAUCAGAAAAUGAGAAGAUUGAUAGUGUUAUUAGUGUCUUGUUUUGCUAAUUUUGUAUAUUCUGUUAUCAAGAAAUGAGAAGAUUGAUAGUGUUAUUAGUGUUCUUGUUUUGUCUAAAUUUUGUAUAUUGUUAUCAAGAAAUGAGAAGAUUGAUAGUGUUAUUUAGUGUUCUUUUUUUUGCUAAAUUUUGUAUAUUGUUAUACAAGAAAUGAGAAGAUUGAUAGUUUAUUAGUGUUCUUGUUUGCUAAAUUUUGUAUAUGUUAUCAAGAAAAUGAGAAGAUGAUAGAUGUUAUUAUGUUCUUGUUUUGCUCUAAAUUUUGUAUAUUCUUAUCAAGAAAUGAGAAAUUGAUAGUGUUAUUAGGUGUUCUGUUUUGCUAAAUUUGUAUAUUUGUUAUCAAGAAAAUGAGGAGAUCAGUAGAGAUUGAGUGCUUAUUAAGUGUGUUGUUUUGCUAAAUUUUGUAUAUUAUUCCAAGAAAGGAGAAGAUGGAUAGUGUUAUUAGUGUUCUUGUUUGCUAAUUCUGUAUUUGUUAUGCAAGAACGAUGAAAGCAUUGAUAGUGUUAUUAGUGUUCUUUGCUAAAUUUUGUGAAUUGUUAUCAGAAAUGAGAAGAUGAUUGAUAGUAGUUAUUAGUGUUCUUGUUUGGCUAAAUUUUGUAUUAUUGUUAUCAAGAAAUGAGAAGUUGAUAGUGUUAUUAGUGUUCUUGUUUUGCUAAAUUUUGUAUAUUGUUAUAAGAAAUGGAGAAGUGAUAGUGUUAUUUAGUGUUCUUGUUUGCUAAUUUUUGUAAUUUAUAUCAAGAAAUGAGAAGACUUGAUAGUGUUUUAGUGUCUUGUUUGCUAAAUUUUGUAUAUUUUAUCAAGAAAUGAGAAGAUUGAUAGUGUUAUUAGUGUUCUUGUUUUGCUAAAUUUUGUAUAUUGUUAUCAAGAAUGAGAAGAUUGAUAGUGUUGUUAUUGUUCUUGUUUGCUAAAUUUUUGUUAUAUUUACAAGAAAAUGAGAAGAGAUGAUAGUGUAUAUUAGUAGUUCUAUUGUGUUUGGCUAAAUUUUGUGUAUAGAAUUUGUGUAAACAAAGAAUAUAGAAGAUUGAUAUAGUGUCUAUUAGUGUUCUUCUUGUUUUUGGCUAAUGUUGUAUAUGUUGCAAAAAGAAAGGAGAAGAUGAUAAGGUGUUAUUACGUGUUCUUUGUUUUUGCUAAAUUUGUAUAUUGUUUCAAGAAAUGAGAAGUUGAUAGCUGUGUAUUAGUGUUUUUGUUUUUGCUAAAUUUUUGUAUAUUGUUAUCAAACAGUGAGAAGAUUGAUAGUGUUAUUAGUGUUUCUUGUUUUUGCUAAAUUUGUUAUAUUGUUAUCAAGAACAUGAGAAGAUUGAAUAGUGUUUUAGUGUUCUUGUUUUGCUAAAUUUUGUAUAUUGUUAUCAAGAAAUGGAGAAGAUUGAUAGUGUUUAGUGGUUCCUUGUUUUGCUAAAUUUUUGUAUAUUGUUAUCAAGAAAUGAGAAGAUUGAUAGUGUUAUUAGUGUUCUUGUUUUGCUAAAUUUUGUAUAUUUGUAUCAAAAAAUGAGAAGAUAUUGAUAGUGAUUAUUAGAAGUGUUCUUGUUUUGGCUAAUAUUUUGUAUUGGAUUUAUCAAGAAAUGAGAAGAUUGAUAGUGUUAUUUAGUGUUUUGGUAUUGCUAAAUUUUGUAUAUUGUUUGUCAAGAAAUGAGAAGAUUGAUAAUGUGUAUUAGUGUGUCUUGUUAGUCUGGGCAGCAAUUUGUAUAUAUUGUUAUACAAAGAAAUGGCAGAGUUGAUGCUAGUUGAUUUAUUAGUGUUUCUUGUUUUGCUAAUUUUUGUAUAUUGGUUUGCAAGAAAGAUGAAGGAUUGAUAGUCUUAUUGUGUGUGCUUGGUUUUGCAGUAAAUGGCGUUAUACGCUUGCCUUUACAAGACCCUAAAAUGAAGAGGAGUCUGCAUAGUGGAUAGUUCUUCGUAUGGGCUUACUAUUGUAAGAAUGCAGCAAAUGAUUAGUGUUAUAGUUGUUGUUUAAAAUUUGUAUAGUGCUACCAAGAAAUGAAGAUAGAAACGCAUAGUUAGCUGUUCUUUUUGCAUUGUGUAUGAUUGGCUUAACGCCAAGCAUAUGCAAUCGACAGGAUUUUAAGUUAUAAGUGUUAUUUUAGUGUUUUGCAUCUUUUCGUAAAUUUUGUAUAUUGUUAUCAAGAAAUGAGAAGAUUGAUUAUGUUAUUAGUGUUCUUGUUUGCUAAAUUUUUGUAUAUUUGUUUACAAGAAAUGAGAGAUUGAUAGUGUUAUUAGAUGUUCUUGUUUUGCUAAAUUUUGUAUAUUGUUAUGCAAGAAUAGAAAGAUUGAAGUCUGUUAUUAGUGUCUUGUUUUGUCCUAAAUUUGUAUAUUGUUAUCAAGAAAUGAGAAGUCUGAUAGUGUUAUUAGUGUCUUCGUUUUCCCUAAAUUUGUAUAUUGUUAUCAGAAUGAGAGAUUGAUAGGUUAUUAGUGUUCUUGAUUUUGCUAAAUUUUGUAUAUGGGUUAUCAAGAAAUGAAGAUUUGAUUAGUGUUUAUUAGUUUCUUGUUUUGCUAAUUUGUAUAUUGUUAUCAAGAAUGAGAAGAUUGAAUAGUGUUAUUAGUGUUCCUUGUUUUGCUAAAUUUGUUAUAUUGUUAUCAAGAAAUAGAAGAAGAUUGAUAGUGUUUAUUAGUGUUUUUUGUUGCUAAAUGUUUGUAUAUUGUUAUCAAAAAUGAGAAGAAUUGAUGAGUUUUAGUGUUCUGUUUUGCUAAAUUUUGAUAUUGUAUAUCAAGAUAUGAGAAGAUUGAUAGUGUUAUUAGUCGCAUUUUGUCUUUGCCAUAAAUUUUGUAUAUUUUUCGACUCUUUUGGAUUACUAGUGAGUUAUUUGCUUUUCUUUUUUCUGGCAUAAUAAUUUGUGUAUUUGUUAUGUCAGAAAUGAGAAGCUGAAUAGUGAUUAUUAGUGUUCUUGUUUUGCCCCUAAAUUUUUGUAUAAUUGUUAUCAAGAAACUGAGAAGAUUGAUAGUGUUUGAUUAGUGUUCUUUUUUGUUGUCUAAUUUUGUAUAUUGUUAUCAAAGAAAUGAGAAGAUUGAUAUGUGUUAUUAAGUGUUUCUUGUUUUGCUAAAUUUUGUAUUUGUUAUCAAGAAAUGUAUUAAGAUUGAUAUAUGUUAAUUCAGUGUUCUUAGUUAGCACUUAAAUUUUGAUAUAAUGUAUAUCAAGAUAAUAUGAGAUAGAUAGUGUUAUUUAGUGUUCUGUUUAGGGCUUAAAUUUUUGUAUAUUGUUAUUAAGUAAAUGGAGGAAGAUCGAUUUGUGUAUUAUUAUGAUUCUUGUUUAUUGCUAAUUUUGUCAAUUGUAUGCCAGGAAAGGAAGAAGAUGAUAGUGUUAUUGUGUCCUGUUUGCUUCACUUGUGUAAUAUUGUUUCGCUCCAGAAUGAGAAGAUUGAUAGUGUUUAUAGUGUUCUUUUAUGUUUUCUAACAUUUGUAUAUUGUUUUUCAAGAAAUGAGAAGAUGAUGAUAGUGUUUAUUAGCUGUUCUUGGGUUUUGCUAAUAUUUUGUAUAGGCUUGUAUCAAAAGAGACUUGUUUCGACAAGAUAUAAUCAGUGUUUUUUUUAUUUUGUGUUCUUGUUUUGCUAAAUUUUGUAUACUUGUUAUCAAAGAAAUGAGAAGUGAAGAUGUUAAUUAGUGUUCUUGUUUUACUAAUUUAUUGUAUAUUUGUUAUCAAGAUAAUGAGAAGAUUGAUAGUUGUUAUUUAGUGUUUCUUGUUUUGCUAAAUUUUGUAUAUUGUUAUCAAGAGAAUGCAGAAAAGAUUGAUAGUGUUAUUAGUGUUCUUGUUUUGCCUAAAAAUUAAUUGUUUAUCAAGAAAUGAGAAGAAUUGAUAGUGUUAUUAGUGUUCUGUUUGCUAAAUUUGUAAUAUUGUUACAGAAAUGCGAAGAUUGAUAGUGUUAUUUAGUGUUCUUGUUUUGCUAAAUUUUGUAUGAUUAUAUCAAGAAAUGAGAAGGUUGAUAGUGUUAUUAGUGUUCUUGUUUUGCUUAAUUUUGUUAUAUUGUUAUUCAAGAAAUGAGAAGAUGAUAGUGUUAUUAGUGUGUUUCUUGUUACAAGAAACUUUGAACGCUGACCCUUUAAAAAUUCUCUCAAAAAAUGAAAAGGCAUUGCCAUGGGGAAUUCUCCAUGGCUUCUGUUCAGUCAAAUAAGGAUAUGGAAGAUCACAACAGGAAAUGUAAGUUCAUGACGCACUGUUUUUUAGAAUUAUGAUGGUUCAAAGGCCACACACUCGCUUCCUAUAUAUCCGUAACGCACAUCUUUAGGAUCUUAUUACGUGAAUUAUUUUUUUGCCUUCUUUUUUCUUAGCAUCUUACCUGUAAUUCUAUAUAUAUGACAUGCCUGAAAGGAUUGAAGGUGUUAUUAGGUUCUUGUUUUCUAAAUUUUGUAUAUUGUGUUUAUCAAGAAAUGAGAAGAUUGAUAGGUGGUUAUUAGUGUUCUUUGUUUUGCUAAAUUUUGUAUAUUGUUUAAUCAGAAAUGAGAAGAUCGAUAGUGUUAUUAAGUGUUUUUGUUUUGCUAAAUUUUGUUAUAUUGCUUAUCAAGAAAUAGAAGAUGAUAGUUUUUAUUAGUGUUCUUGUUUUGCUAAAUUUUUUUAUAUUGUUUCAAGAAAUGAAGAUGAUUGAUAGUGUUAUUAGUGUUCUUGUUUGCUAAAUUUUGUAUAUUGUUUUAUCAAGAAAUGAGAAGAUUUGAUAGUGUAUUAGUGUUCUUGUUUGCUAAAUUAUGUAUAUUGUUAUCAAGAAAUAGAAGAUUGAUAUGUUAUAGUGUUCUUGUUUUGCUAAUAUUUUGUAUAUUGUUAUCAAGAAAUGAGAAGAUUGAUAGUUUAUAUAAGUGUUUUUUGUUUUGCUAAAUUUGUAUAUUGUUACAUAGAAAUGAGAAGAUUGAUAGUGUUAUUUAGUGUUCUUGUUUUGCUAAAUUUUUGUAUAUUGUUAUCAAGAAAUGAGAAGAUGAUAGUGUUAUAGUGUUCUUGUUUUGCUAAAUUUUGUAUAUUUUAUCAAGAAAUGAGAAGAUUGAAGUGUUAUUAGUGUUCUUGUUUUGGCUAAAAUUUUGUAUAUUGUUUACUCAAGAAAUGAGAAGAUAUGAUUGUGUUAUUAGUUCUUGUUUUGCUAUUUUGUUAUUAUUAUCAAGAAAGGUAGAGAUUGAUAGUUGUAUUAGUUUCUUGUUUUGCUAAAUUGUGUAUAUUGUUAUCAAGAAAUGAGAAGAUUGAUAGGUUAUUGUGUUCUUGUUUGCUAAAUUUUGUAAUUGUUAUCGAAGAAAUGAUAGAGAAGAUUGAUAGUGUUAUUAGUGUUCUUUUUUGCAAUUUUGUAUUAUGUUAUCAAGAAAUGAGAGAUUGAUAGUGUUAUUAGUGUUCUUGUUUGCUAAAUUUUGUAUAUUGUUAUCAAGAAAUAGAAGGUGUAGUGUUAUUUAGUGUUCUUGUUUUGCUAAUUUUGUAUAUUUUAUCAAGAAAUGAGAAGAUUGAUAGUGUUAUUAUAAGUUCUUGUUUUGCUAAAUUUUAGUAUAUAUUUUAUCAGAAAUGAGAAGAUUGAUAGUGUAUAUUAGUGUUCUUGUUUUCUAAAUUUAUGAUUAUAUUGUUUCAAGAAUUGAGAAGAUUGAUAUGUAUUAGUGUUCUUGUUUGCUAAAUUUUGUAUAUGUUAUCAAGAAAUGAGAAGAUUGAUAGUGUUAUUAGUGUUCUUGUUUUGCUAAAUUUGUAUAUGUUUCAAGAAAUGAGAAGAUUGAUAAUGUUAUUAGUUGUUCUGUUUUCUAAAUUUUUGUAUAUUUUAUCAAGAAAUAGAGAUUGAUAGUGUUUUGUUGUUCUUGUUUUGCUAAAUUUUGUAUAUUGUUAUCAGAAUGAGAAGAUUGAUAGUGUUAUUAGUGUUCUUGUUUUGCUAAAUUUGUAUUAUUGUUAUCAAGAAAUGAGAAGAUUGAUAGUGUUAUUAGUGUUCUUGUUUUGCUAAAUUUUGUAUAUUGUUAUCAAGAAUGAGAGAUGAUAGUAUGUUAUUAGUGUUCUUGUUUGCUAAAUUUUUGUAUAUUUUUAUCAAGAAAUGAGAAGAUUGAUAGUGUUAUUAGUGUUCUUGUUUUGCUAAUUUUUGUAUAUUGUUCAGAAAUGAGAAGAUUGAUAGUGUUAUUAGUGUUCUUGUUUUGCUAAAUUUUGUAUUGUUAUCAAGAAAUGAGAAGAUUGAUAGUUGUUUUUAGUGUUCUUGUUUGCUAAAUUUGUAUAUUGUUUCAGAAAUGAGAAGAUUGAUAGUGUUAUUAGUGUUUUGUUUUGCUAAAAUUUUGUAUAUUGUUAUCAAGAAAUGAGAAGAUUGAUAUGUAAUUAGUGUCUUGUUUGCUAAAUUUUGUAUAUUCGUUAUCGAAAAUGAGAAGAUUGAUAGUGUUAUUAGUGUUUCUUGUUUUGCUAAAUUUUGUAUAUUGUUAUCAAGAAUGAGAAGAUUGAUAGUGUUAUUAGUGUUCUUGUUUGCUAAAUUUUGUAUAUUGUUUAUCAAGAAAUGAGAAGAUUGAUAGUGUUAUUAGUGUUCUUGUUUGCUAAAUUUUGUAUAUUUUUUCAAGAAAUGAGAAGAUUGAUAGUGUUAUUAGUGUUCUUGUUUGUAAUUUUGUAUAUUGUUACAAAGAAAUGAGAAGAUUGAUAGUGUUAUUAGUGUUUCUUGUUUUGCUAAAUUUUGUAUAUUGUUUAAGAAAUGAGAAGAUUGAUAGUGUUAUUAGUGUUCUUGUUUUGCUAAAUUUUGUAUAUGUUAUCAAGAAAUAGAAGAAGGAUAGUGUUUAUUACGUGUUCUUGGUUUAGUAAACUUUGUGUAUAUUCUGGUUAUUAGAAAUGAAAGAUGAUUGUGUGUAUUAGUGUUCUUGGUUUUGCUAUUUGUAUAUAUGUUGGCAAGAAAGUGAGAAGAUCGAUAGGUGCUUAUUAAGUCGUUUCUUGUUUUCUAAUUUGAUAUUAGUUCUCAAGAAAAUGCAAAGAUUGAUUAGUUGUAGUUAUGUCUUCUGUUUUGCCACUAAAUUUUGUAUAUUGUUAUCAAGAAAUGAGAAGAUUGAAUAGUGUUAUUAGUGUUUGUUUCUGCUAGAUUUUCUGGUAUAUGUGUUUAUCAAGAAAUGAGAAAGAUUGAUAGUGUUAUUAGUGUUCUUGUUUUGCUUAAAUUUUGUAUAUUGUUAUCAAGAAAUGAGAAGAUUGAUAUGUGUUAUUAGUUCUUCUGUUUGCUAAAUUUUGUAUAUGUUAUCAAGAAUGAAGAUAGAUAGUGUUAUUAGUGUUCUUGUUUGCUAAAUUUGUAUAUUGUUAUCAAGAAAUGAGAAAUUAGAUUGUGUUAUUAAGUGUUUUGGUUUGUUUGCCUAAUUUUGAUAUUGUUUAUCCAAGAAAGAGAAGAUUGAUAGUGUUAUUAGUGUUCUUGUUUUGGCUAAAUUGUUGUAUAUUGCUUUGCAAGAAAUGCAAAGAGUUGAUAGUGUGUCAUUACUGUUUUUGUUUUGCUAAAUUUGUACAUAUUGUUUUCAAGAAAAUGAGAAGAUCUGAUAUGUUAUUAGUGUGUUGCUUGUUUGCUAAUUUUGUAUAUUUGUUAUCAAAAAAAUAGAGAAUUGAUAGUGGUUUAUUAGUGUUCUGUUUUGCUAAAUUUUGUAUAUUUGGUUAUAAGAAAUAGAGGAAAAAGGUUCGAUAGUGUUAUUAGUGUUCUGUUUUGCUAAAUUUUGUAUAUUCUUAUCCAAGAAAUAGAGAAGAUUGAAUAAUGUUAUAGUGUUCUUAGUUUUCUAAUUUUGGUAUAUUUUUGGGUUUUUAUCAAGCACCCAAAUGCCGAAGAUUGAAUCAGUGUUAUUAGUGUUUUGGUUUAUGCUAAAUUUUUGUAUAAUUGGUCUGAUCCAAAGAAACAUGAGAAGAUGAUAAUGUUAUUUUAGUGGUUUACUUGCUUAUCGGCUAAAUUUUGUAAUUGUUAUCAGAAAUUAGAAGAUUGAAUUAGUGUUAGUUAGUUGUUAUUAGUUUUUGGCUAAAAAUUUAUUGGUUAUAUUGGGUUAAUCAAAGAAUAAUGAGAAGAAGAGGUCCGAGUAGUUGAUGUAGCUAGUAGUUAGUCUUGUUUAUGCUAGAAAUAAUUUGUAUCUUGUUAUCUAAGAAAGAUUAGAAGAAUGGAAUAGUGUUAUAGGUGUUCUUAGGUUUGACUAAUGUGUAUACUUUUUGUGUCAAGAAGACGAAAGGAAGAAUGAUAGUGUUAUUGUAGUGUUUUUAUUUUGCUAAACUUAUUGCUAUAAUUCGUUAUCACAAUAAUGAGAAAGAAUGGGAUUAAGUAGGUUAUUGAGUGUUCUUCUGUUUUGCUAUCAAUUUUGUAAUAGUUGUUAUCAAAGAAAAUGAGAAGAUUAGUGUCUUCGUUAAUAUAUGUUUAUUGCAGUUUUGCUACCAUUUGUAUGAUUUUGAUUCAAGAAAUGAGAAGAAAAUCUGAAUAAUUGUUGAAAUUGAGUGUUCUUUCUUGUUAAUGCUAAAUUUUGUAAUAUAGUCUAGUCAAGAAAAUAUGAAGAUAGAUAGUGGUUAUAGUUGUUGCUGUUUAGCUAAAUUUUGUAUAUUGUUAUCAGAAAUGGAGAAGAGUCGAUUGUGUUAUAAGUGUUCUUGUUUUGCUAAUUUGGAAUAUAUUUUUGGUUUGCCCAAGUAAAGGAGAAAGAUGGAUAGGUGGUUAUUGUAUGUUCUUGUUUUGCUAAAUUGUGUUAUUGGUUGUCAGAAAAUGAAAAAGAUUGCGAGAUAGUGUUAUUAGUGUUUUUGCUUUUGCUAGAUUUGAGUAUUAAUUGUUUCUAAUGCUGAAAUGAGAAGUUUGCACAUUGAAUAGUGUUAUUCAGAUGUUCGUAUUGCUAACAUUUUUAAUAUUGUUAUACGAAAGAACAUGAAGAAUAGUUGAUAGUGUGUUUUAUGCUGCUUAGGUUGUUGUCUAGUUUUGUAAUAUUGUUUACUCAGAAUGAGAAGGUGCAAGUUGUAAUUAUGUUGCUUGUUUGCUAAAUUUUGUAUAUUGCAUUAUCAGAAGAAAAUGAGAAGAUUGAUAGUGUUAUUAGUGUUCUGGUUUUCUAAUUAUGUGUAUAUCUAGUUAGAAGGAAAGAAUAGAUUGAUAGGUUGUUAAUUAGUGGCUUCUUGUUUUGACGUAAAUUUUAGGGGAUAUUUGUUGUCAAAGAAAUGUAAGAAGAUGGAUAGAUGUUAUGUAGUGGUUCUUGUUACUGCUAAAUGAUGUUGUAUAUAGUUGUAUCCAAAGAAAAUGAGAGAGAUUGACUAGUGUUAUUUGAGUGUGUCUUGUUUUGCCUAAAUUUUUGUAUAAUGUAGUUAUGGAAGAAAUGGAGAAAGGUCGAUAGUGUUCAUUAGUGUUCGUUAGUUUGCCUAAGAUUUUAUAUAUUAGGUAUCAAAAGAAAUCGAGAAGAUUGAUAGUGCUUAAUUAGAUGUUCUGUGUUAUAUGCUGCCUAAAUUGUGUUAUUUUUGUCAUAAGAAACUGAGAAGAUUGAUAGUGGUUAUAUUGAGGGUGUUGUUUAAGUAUUGCUAAAUUUGUAUAUGUGUUAUGCAAGAAAUGAGACAGAUUAGAUAGUGCUUUGUUAGUGUUCUUGUUUUGCCCUAUACUUUGUUGGGUAUAUGUGUCUUAGUCAAAGAUAAUGAGAAGAUUGAUAGUGUUUUUUACUCGUUGUCUGUCUGAUUUGGCCCGCCUAUACUUUUGUAUAAUUCUUAUCAGAAAUAUGAGAAGAUUGAAUAGGUGUUAUUAGUGUUCUGUGUUUUGGCCGUAUAUUUUGUAUAUUCUUAAUCAACGAAAUGAGCAUAGAUUGAUGUAGUUUUUAGUGUUCUAUGGUUUUUGCCCCUAAAUUUUGUAUAUGUUGAUACAAGAAAUGAGAAGAUUGUAUAGUUAUUAGUGUUCCUAUGUUUUAUGCCUAAUUUUUGUAUUAGUUAUCAAGAAAUAUGAAGAUAGAUAGUGUUAUUAGUGUUCUUGGUUUAGACUAAUUUGUAAUAUUGUUAAUAAGAAAUGAGAAGAUAUUCCGAUUGUUUAUUAGUGUUCUUGUUUUGCCUAAUCUGUUGCAGAUAUUGGUUGUGCUCGAAUAUGGUGGCAAGACAAGGAGAAGAUGAUCGGUUUAUUAGUGUUCUUGUUUUUGCUAAAGUGUGUAUAUUUGGAUGUCCAAGUAAAUGACGAAGAUUAUAGUCGUUAUUAAAGUGUAUUUGUUUUGCAUAAAUGUUGUAAAUAUUGUAUCAAGACAGUGGAGAAGAUUGGAUAUGUGUUAUUAGUGUUACUUCGUGUUUUUCUAUACAGAUUUUGUAUAUGUGUGUAUCAAGAAUGACAAAAUUAGAUAGUGUUUUCUAGUAUUGUUCUUGUUUUACUGAGCCCUAAAUUUUGUAUAAUUGUUCAGUAGAAAUAGAAGGUCGAUAGGUCGUUAUUAGUGAUUCUUGUUUUUCGGCUGAUAGAAAUGUUGUAUAUUCUUAUCGAAGAAAUGAGAAGAUGAUAGUGUUAUUGUGUUCUUGGUUUGGCUAAUUUGUAAUAUUGUUGUAUGCAAGUACCAUGAGAAAGGAUUGAAUAGUCGUUAUUAGUGUCCUCUUAGUCUUUGGCUAAAUUUUUGUAUACUUGCUGUCCAAGAAUGAAGAAGAUUGAUAAUAUUAUUAGUCGUUCUUGGUAUGCUAAUAAAUUUUGUAUAUUGUUAUGCAAAGAAAAUGAGGAUGAUUCGAUAUGCGUUAUUAGUGUUUCUGUUUUGCCUAUAAUUUUGUAUAUGUUAUCAAAGAAAGAUGAGUAAGAGCGUCGAGUAUGUAGCUGAUUAGGUUCUUGGUUUUUGCUAAAAUUUUGGUAAUAUUGUUAUCAAGAAAUGAGAAGAGUUGAUAGUGUUAUUAGUGGUUUAAUUGUUUUGCCUAAUAAGGUUGUGUGAUGAUUUUUGUCAAAGAAAUGAGAAGAUUGGAUAAGUGUUAUUAGUGCUUUUUAUUUUUGCUAAAAUUUUGUAUAUUGUUAUCGGUAAGAAAGGAAGAAGCGGAUUGGGAUAGUGUGUUUUUAGUGGUUCUUUUGUUUUGCUAAAUUGUAUGAUUGUUAUCAAGAAAUGAAGAAGUAUUGAUAGGUUGUAUCAUUAGUGUUCUUGUUUUGGCUAUUUUGUAUAUGUUAUCAAAGAAUGAGAAGAUUGAUAUUGUUAUAUAGUGUUCUUUGUUUUGCUAUAUUUUGUAAUAUUGUUAUCAAGAAAUGAGGAGAUGAUGUGCUAUGAUGUUUUGCUAAAUUUGUAUCAUUGUUAUCAGAAGGAGGAUUGUAGUAAGUUAACUUAGCUGUCUUCAUUUGUGCUAAAUAAGUUGUUAAUCAAGAUAGUGCAGAAGAUUGGAUACGUGUUUUUAGUGUUCUUGUUCUUGCUAUUUUGUAUAUUGUUUCGAAAGGAUGAGAAGAUCGUAGUGUUAUUAGUGUUCUAUGUUUGCCUAUAAUUUUGUUAUUUGUUAUCAAGAAUGAGAAGAUUGAUAGGUAGUGAUUCUUGUUUUCUAAUUUUAGUUAUUGUUCUCAAGAAAUGAGUUGAGGGUUAUGCUUCGUUUGACUAAUUUUGUAUAUGUUAAGAAAAGUGAGAAGGAUUGACUAAUGUUAGUUGAGUUGUUUUGAUUUUGCUAAAUUUGUAGAUGUUAUCAAUAACGAUGAGAAGAGCACUUGAUAGGUAGGUUAUUAUUAGUGUUCUGUCGUUUCGAACUAUAAUUUAUUGUAUAAUUGUUAUCAAGAAAAUGAGAAGAUUAGAAUAGUGUUAAUGAAAAAGUUUGUCGUUUUGGCUAAUUUUGUAUUUCUUAUCAAGAAAUGAGAAGAUUGAUAGUGUGUAUUAGUGUUCUUUUUGACUAAUGUUUGUUAAUUGCUUAUCAAGAAAUGAGAAGAUUGAUAGUGUUAUUAGUGUUCUUGUUUUUGGCUCUAAAUUUUUGAGUAUAUUGUGAUCAAGAAUGAGAUAGUUGUAUGUUAUUAUGUUCUUGUUUAUGCUAAGUUUUGUAUAUUAGUUAUUUCAAGAAUGAUGAAGAUUGAUAGUGUAUUAGUCGUUCCUCUGUAUUGCUAAAAUUAUUGUAUAUUGUAUCAAGAAAUGAGAAGAUUCGAUUGGUGUGUAUUAGUGUUCUUGGUUUUGCUAAGUUUUUGUAUAUUGUUACAAGAAAAGGAGAAGAUGUGAUAGUGUUAUUGUGUUCAUUGUUUUGCCUAAAUUGUGUAUAUUGUUUUCAAGACAAUGAGCAAGAUGAUAUUAUUUCAUUGAGUUGCUUAUUUUAUAUGCUUUCGAAUGAGAAAUUAUGUGGUAUUAGUUUCGUUAUCAAGAAAUGACUAGACUAGGAAAUUUUCAAAGUGAACAUGGCUAUUAGUGUUCUGUUGGCUAUUAUUGUAAUAAGGAAUGUAGUAUCAAACAGCGAAAUAUGAGACAGUAUUGAAUGUUUUGAUGGCUUUUAGCACGGAUCUUUUCGUACUGCACUAAAUUUUGUCAGUUCGUUUAGUUAUCUGUUUCAAUUAGCGAGUGUAUUCCGAAUUUUAUCAGGAUGAAUGAUAGUGUAUUAGUGAUCUUGUUUUGGCUAAAUUUUGUGUAUAUUGUAUCAAUGAAUGAAAGGAUUGAUAGGGUUUAUGUGAGUCUGUUCUUGUUUUGCCUAAUACUAUGUAUAUUGUUAUCAAGAAAAUGAGAAGAUUGAUAGAUGUUAUUAGUGUUCUGUUUUGCUAAAUUUGUAUAUUGUUAUCAAGAAAUGAGAGGAUUGGAUUGUUGAUUAGUGUUCUUGUUGAUGCCUAAAAUUUUUGUAUAUUGUUAUACAAGAAAUGAGAAGAUUGAUAGUGUGAAUUAGUGUUUGCUCUGGUUUUGCUAAAUUUUGUAUAUUGUUAUCAAGAAGAUGAGAAGAUGUGAUAGGGUUUAUUAGUGUUCUUGUUUUGCCUAAAUUUUGAUUAGGUCACUUGUUAUCAAAAUAGAACAUGAGUAAGAUUGAUAGUUGAUGAUUAGUGUUCACGUGGGGUUUGUGCGUAAAUUGAUGGUAAUUUUUUGUUCAUAGAAAUGAGAAUGAUUGAUGUGUUUAUUAAGUGUUUUAUUUUUGACUAAAUUUAUGGUAGAUAUAUGUUUAUUCGAAGAAAUGUGGAGAGAUUGAUAGUGUUUUUAGGUGUUCCUGUUUUGCUAUAGUUUUUGUAUAUUGUUAUCAAGAAAAUAGAAGAUUGAUAGUGUUAUUAGUGUUCUUGUUGUUGCUUUAUUCUUGUAUAUUCUUAUCAAGAAAUGAGAAGAAUUGAUAUGUUUAUUAGUGUUCUUCGUUUUGCUAUAUUUUUGUAAUAUUCUAUAUCAAGAAAUGAGAAAAGAUUGAUAGUGUUAUAGUGUUCUUGUUUUGCCUAAAUUUUGUAUAGUUGGUUGUCAAGAAAUGAGCAAGAGUUGAUAAUGUUUAUCGUGGGGGUACCGUUUUGGAGUUCAUGGUGAGGUCUGGAAGGAGCGACUAAGGGCACCCGAUGUCAGAACACUAACAAGUGGCGUGAUAGGGUGUUUACUUAAAGGCAGAUCGCGUGGAAGACUAGAAUGUGGCGUGUCAUGCAGCAUUGGUGCUUGGUAUAACUAGUAGCCAGCUCAGUAUAUAAAGAAUUUUUGUGUGAGUAUAGCUAUGUAUACCUCCGGAGGAAGAGGAAAAGGAAGGAAUGUUGUGGAUCGAGAGUUCUAUGUUGGUAUAAGGUUGAGUGUUUCCUUGUUUUGCUCAGAUUUUGCGUAUAGUAGUUUAACCCUCCCGCCGGCACGUAAGUUGAAGAGAGAAGGAUGGGACUGAUGUGUAUCGGUAGUGUGUACUUUGAUUUUGAGGCUAAACUUGAGUGUAUACGGUUAGUUAUUUGUGUCGAAAAGAGGCGAGAGGAUCGGAAUGUUGGUGUUCAUUAGUCGUUUUUUCUGGUAUUUUGCAGAUUUGUAUAUUGUUAUCAAAGAAUGAGAAGAUUGAUAAGUGUUAUAGUGUUCUGUUUGCUAAAUUUUUGUAUAUUGUUAUCAAGAAAAUGAGACGAUGUAGUGUUAUUUAGUGUUCUUGUUUUUGCUACACAUUUUGUAUAUUGUUAUUCAAAAUGAGAAGUGUGAUAGUGUUACUAGUGUUCUUGUUUUGCAAUUUUGUAUAUUUUAUCCAAGAUAAUGAGAAAGAUGAUAGUGUUAUGUUUAUUAGUGUUCUGUGUUUGCUAAUAUUUUGUAUAAUUGUGUUAUCCAAGAAUGAGAAAGAUUGAUAGUGUUAUUAGUGUUUUUUGUUUUUGCUACAAAUUUGUAUAUUGUUUAGAGAAAUGAGAAGAUUUUGAUAAAGUCUUAUUAAGUGUUCUUGUUAUGCUAAAUGCUUUGGCUGAUAUUGUUAUCAAGAAAUGAGAAGAUUGUAGUGUUUUAGUGUUCUUGUUUUGCUAAAUUUUGUUAUUAGUAUCAAGAAAUGAAGAAGUGAUAGUGUUAUUAGUGUUCGCUUGUAUUUUGCUAAUUGUUGUAAGUAUUGUUAUCAAGAAAUGAGAAGAUUGAUAGUGUUAUUAGUGUUUCUUGUUUUGCUAAAUUUUGUAUAUUGUUUCAAGAAAUGAGAAGGCGAUAGUGUUAUUAGUGUUCUUGUUUGCUAUAUUUUGUAUAUUAUCUUAUUCCAAGAAAUCGAGAAGAUUGAUAGUGUUAUUAGUGUUCUUGUUUUGCAUAAUAUUUGUAUAAUUGUUAUCAAGAAAUGAGAAGAUUGAUAGUGUUUAUUAGUGUUCUUGUUUUGCUAAAGUUUGUAUAUUGUUAUCAAGAAAUGAGAAGUUGAUAGUUUCUAUAGUGUUCUUGUUUUGCAAAUUUUGUAUUUUUAUCAAAAUGUAGAAGAUUGAUGAGUGUUUCUUAAGUGUUCUUGUUUUGCUAAAAUUUGUAAUUUGUUUCAAGGAAAUGAGAAGAUUGAUAGUGUUAUUAUGUGUUUUUGUUUUGCUAAAUUUUGUAUAUUGGUUAUCAAAGAAAUGUGAGAAGAAUUGGAUUGAGUGUUAUUAGUGUUCUUGUUUUUGCUCGAAAUUUUAUGUAAUUCGUUAUACCGAGAAGAGAAAUGAGAAGAUCUGGAUAAGUGGUUAUUUAGUGGUUCCCUUGUUUUGCUGAAAUUUUGUAUAUUGUUUAUCACUCGAGCAAGAAAUGAGAAGAUUGAUAUGUUAUUAGGUGUUUUCUUUGUUUUGGACUGUAAAUUUUGUAUAUUGCUAUCUCAAAAUAGAGAAGAUCGAAUAGUGUUAUUAGGGUUCUUGUUUUGCUAAAUUCUUGUCAUUGUUAUCCAAGAAUAUAGAGUUAUGUGUAAGUUGAUAUCAGUUUAUCAAGAAAUAGGAGAUUGAUAGUGUUAUUAGUGUUCUUGUUUUGCUAAAUUUUGUAUAUUGUUAUCAAGAAAUGAGAGAUUGAUAGUGUUUAGUGUCUUUUUUGUAAAUUUUGUAUAUUGUUAUCAAGAAAUGAGAAGAUUGAUAGUGUAAUUAAGUGUUCUUGUUUUGUUAAAUUUUUGGUAUAUGUUAUCAAGAAAUAGAAGAUGAUAGUGGUUAUUAGUGUUCUUUUGCUAAAUUUUGUAUAUUGUUAUAAGAAAUGAGAAUGAUGUGUUAUUAGUGUUCUUUGUUUUGCUAAAUUUUGUAUAUUGUUUCAAGAAAGGAGAAGAUGGAUAGUGUUAUUAGUGUUCUUGUUUUGCUAAAUUUGUAUAUUGUUACAAGAAAUGAGAAGAUUGAUAGUGUUAUUAGUGUUUUGUUUUGCUAAAUUUUGUAUAUUGUUAUCAAGAAAUGAGAAGAUUGAUAGUGUUUAUUAGUGUUCUUGUUUUGCUAAAUUUUGUAUAUUGUUAUUCAAGAAAUGAGAAGAUUGAUAGUGUUUUAGUGUUCUUGUUUUGCUGAAAUUUUGUAUAUUGUUUCAAGAAAUGGAAGAGGUGAUAGUGUUAUUGUGUUCUUGUUUUGCUAAAUUUUUAUAUUCUUAUCAAGAAAUGAGAAGAUUGGAUAGUGUUAUUAGUGUUCUUGUUUUGCUAAUUUUGUAUAUUGUUAUCAAGAAAUGAGAGAUUGAUAGUGUUAUUAGUGUUUUGUUUGCUAAAAUUUUGUAUAUUGUUUCAAGAAAUGAAGAUGAUAGUGUUAUUAGUGUUCUUGUGUUUGCUAAAUUGUAUAUUGUAUCAAGAAUGAGAAGAUUGAUAGGUUUUUAGUGUUCUUGUUUUGCAUAAAUUUGUAUAUUUGUUAUCAAGAAUGAGAAGAUUGAUAGUGUUAUUAGUGUUUUGUUUUGCUAAAUUUUGUAUAUUGUUACAAGAAAUGAGAAGAUUGAUUGAUUAUUAGUGUUUGUUUUGCUAAAUUUUUGUAUAUUUUAUCAAGAAAUGAGAAGAUUGAUAGUGUUAUUAGUGUUCUUGUUUUGCUAAAUUUUGUAUAUUGUUAUCAAGAAAUGAGAGAUUGAUAGUGUUAUUUAGUGUUCUUGUUUUGCUAAAUUUUGUAUAUUGUUAUCAAGAAAUGAGAAGUGAUAGUGUUAUUAGUGUUCUUGUUUUGCUAAAUUUUGUAUAUUGUUAUCAAGAAAUAGAAGAUUGAUAGUGUUAUUAGUGUUUUGUUUUGCUUUCAUUUGUAUAUUGUUAUCAGAGAAUAUGAAGAUGAUAGUGGUUAUUAGUGUUCUUGUUUGCUAAUUUUGUAUAUUGUUAUAAAGAAAUGAGAAGAUGAUUGUUGUUAUUAUGUCUUGUUUUGGCUAAAUUUUGUAUUAUUGUUCAAAGAAAGGAGAAGAUGAUAGUGGUUAUAGUGUUCUUGUUUUGCUAAAUUUAGUAUAUUGUUAUCAAGAAAGAGAAGAUUGAUAGUUUAUAUAGUGUUUUUGUUUUGCUAAAUUUUGUAUAUUGUUAUCAAGAAAUGAGAAGAUUGAUAGUGUUAUUAGUGUUCUUGUUUUGCUAAAUUUUGUAUAUUGUUAUCAAAAUGAGAAGAUUGAUAGUGUUUUAGUGUUCUUGUUUUGCUAAAUUUUGUAUAUUGUUAUCAAGAAAUGAGAAGUGAUAGUGUUAUUAGUGUUCUUUUUUGCUAAAUUUUUAUAUUUUAUCAAGAAAUGAGAAGAUUGAUAGUGUUAUUUAGUGUUCUUGUUUUGCUAAUUUUGUAUAUUGUUAUCAAGAAAUGAGAAGAUUGAUAGUGUUAUUAGUGUUUGUUUUGCUAAAUUUUGUAUAUUGUUUCAAAGAAAUGAGAAGAUUGAUAUGUUAUUAGUGUUCUUGUUUGCAAAUUUUAGUAUAUUGUUAUCAAGAAAUUAGAAGAUUGAUAGUGUUAUUAGUGUUCUUGUUUUUGCUAAAGUUUUGUAUAUUGUUAUCAAGGAAUGCGAGAAGCAUCGAUAGUGUUUAUUAGUGUUUGCUUGUUUUCUAAAUUUUGUAUAUUGUUUAUCCCAAGGAAAUGACGGAAAGCUCGAUAGUGUAUUAAGUGUUCUUGUUUUGCUGUUAUUUGUAUAGGUUCCUUAUCAACUGAAUGAGAAGAUUAGAUAGUGGUUAUUAGAGUGUUCUUGUCUUCUGACUAUUUUUGGUAUAUUGUUAUCAAUAGAAAUGAGAAGCUUGGAUAAGAUGUAUUAAUAGUGUCUGUUUGCGCUAUAUUUUGUAUAUUUGCUUAUCUAAAGAAUGAAGAAGAUUGUAGUGUGUAGUUAGUAGUUCUUUGUUUUGCUAACACUUUUGUAUCAGUUGCUUUAUCGAAGUAAAUGAGAAGAUAUUAAUAGUCGUUUUUAGUGUUCUUGUAUUUUGCUAAAUGGUGUAUAUUGUUGUCAGUGAAUGCGAGAAAGAUAUUGAAUAGUUGUGAUUAGUAGUUUUUGUUUUGCCUAAAUUAGUUGUAUAUUGGUUAUCCAAGAACUGAGAUUAGAUUGAUUUAGAGGUACGUAUUAAAGUAGUCUAGUUUUGCGUCUAAAUUUGUAUUAUAUGUUAUCAAGAAUGAGAAUGGAUUGCUAAGUGGUUUAUUAGUGGUUCUUGCUUUUAGCUAAAAUUAUUGUAUAUGUAGUUAUCAAGAGAAAUGAGAAAGAAUGAAUAGUGUUAUUAGUGUUCUGUGUUUUGCUAAUUUGUAUUAGGUUGUUAUCAAGAAAUGAGAGGUCGCGUAAGUGUUUUAUUACGUGGGUUGCUUGUUUGUCUAAAUUUGUGUAUAUUCCUUUAUCACAGUAUGUGUGUAUUGAGUUUGAGGUGUCGUUACUUCAGUUUUUGUCACACUAUUUUGAUAUGAUUCUAUCAAAGAAAAUGAGAAGAUUGAUGAGUGUAUCAUUAGUGUUCUGUGUUUGUUGCAUAAAUUUUGUUAUUGUAUUAUCAUAAGAAAAUGAAAGAUUUGAUAGUGUUUAUUAGUGUCGCUUUGUUUUUGCUAAAUUUGUAUAUUGUUAUCUAUAUAUAUAAGCGUAAAUACAGGAAGAGUUGAUACGUAGUAGUAGAUGUUAGUGUUCUUGUUUUGCUAAUUUUGUAAUAUUGUUAUCAAGAAUGAAGUAAGGUCGAUAGUGUUAUUAGUGUUCUUGUUUUGGCUAAAUUUGUAAUAUUCUUAUCAACGAAAUCGAGAAGAUUGAUAGUGUUAUAGUGUUUCUUGUUUUGCUUAAUUUUGUAUAUUCUUAUCAAGAAAUAGAAGAUUGAUAGUGUUUAUAUUAGUGGGUUUCUUGGUUUUGCUAAUUUUGUAUAUUGUUGUCCAAGCAAUGAGAAGAUUGAUACUGUUUAUUAGUGUCUUGUUAUGCUAAAAUUUUGUAUAGUUAUCAAAAGAAAUGAAGAAAGAUUGAUAGUGUUAUUAGUGUUCCUUGUUUGCUAAUUUGUAUAUUGUUAUCAAGAAAUGAGAAGAUCGAUUGGUUUUAAGUGUUCUUGUUUUGCUAAUUUGUAAAAUAUUGUUGCCAAGAAAGGAGAAGAUGAUAGUGUUUACUUAGUGUUCUUGUUUUGCUAAAUUGUGUAUAUUGUUUGUCAAGAAUGAGAAGCUUGAAUAGUGUAUUAGUGUUUUGUUUUGCUAAAUUUUGUAUAUUGUUCAUCAAGAAAUGAGAAGAUGUAAUAGUGUUAUUAGAUGUUCUUUGUUUUGCUAAAUUUUGUAUAUGUAUCAAAAAUGAGAAGAUUGAUAGUGUUUAUUCGUGUUUCUUUGUUUUGCUAAAUUUUGUAUAUUGUUAUCCAGAAAUGCGAAGAUUGGAUAGUGUUUUUAGUGUUAUUGUUUUGCUAAAUUUUGUAUAUAUGUUUAUCAAGAAAUGAGUAGGUCGAUAGUGUUAUUAGUGUUUCUUGUUUUGCUAAAUUUGUAUAUUCUUAUCAAGAAAUGAGAAGAUUGAUAGUGGUUAUUAAGUGUUCUUGUUUUGCUAUAUUUGUAUAUUGGUUUAUCAAGAAAUGAGAAGAUUGAUAGUGUUAUUGUGUUAUUGUUUUGCUUAAAUUUUGUAAUUGUUGUCCAGAAUGAGAAAGAUUGGAAUAAUGUUAUUAUGUUCUUGUUAUGCCUAAAUUUUGAUAUUGUUAUCAGAUAUACGAGAAGAUUGAUAGUGUUUUUUAGUGUUCUGUUUUGCUAAAUGUGUAUAUUGUUAGUCAGGAUGAGAAGAUUGAUAGUGGUUAUUAGUGUUUUUGUUGCUAAAAUUUUGUAUAUUGUUAUCAAGAAAUGAGAAGAUUGAUUGAUUUAUUGUGUUCUUGUUUGCUAAAUUUUGUAUAUUGUUUAUCAAGAAAUGAGAAGAUUGAUAGUGUUAUUAGUGUUCUGUUUUGCUAAAUUUGUAUAUUGUUAUCAGAAAUGAGAAGAUUGAUAGUGUUAUAGGUGUUCUUGUUUUGCUAAAUUUUGUUAUUGUUAUCAAGAAAUGAGAAAGGUCGAUAGGUUUUAUUAGAGUGUUCUUGUUUUGCUANNNNUAUUUGUUAUCAAGAAUGAGAAGAUUGAUAGUGUUAUUAGUGUUCUUGUUUUGCUAAAUUUUGUAUAUUGUUAUCAAGAAAUGAGAAGAUUGAUAGUGUGAUUAGUGUUCUUGUUUUGCUAAAUUUUGUAUAUUGUUAUCAAGAAUGAGAAGAUUGAUAGUGUUAUUAGUGUUCUUGUUUUGCUAAAUUUUGUAUAUUGUUAUCAAGAAAUGAGAAGAUUGAUAGUGUUAUUAGUGUUCUUUGUUUUGCUAAAUUUUUUAUAUUGUUAUCAAGAAAUGAGAAGAUUGAUAGUGUUAUUAGUGUUCUUGUUUGCUAAAUUUUGUAUAUUGUUAUCAAGAAAUGAGAAGAUUGAUAGUGUUUUUGUGUUUUGUUUUGCUAAAUUUUGUAUAUUGUUAUCAAGAAAUGAGAAGUUGAUAGUGUUAUUAGUGUUCUUGUUUUGCUAAAUUUUGUAUAUUGUUAUCAGAAAUAGGAAGUUGAUAGUGUUAUUAGUGUUCUUGUUAUCAAGAAACGUUUGACGCUGACCCUUUAGCAAAAUCUCUCAAAAAUGAAAGGCAUUGCCAUGGGGAAUUCUCCAUGGCUUCUUUCAGUCAAAUAAGGAAUGGAAGAUCACAACCAAGUCGAUGUAAGCCAUGACGCACUGUUCGUUUGAUAUUUAUGAUGGCUUCAAAAGGCCACACCACUGCUUCUAUAUCCGUACCACAUUUUAGGACUCUAUUAUGUGAGUUAUUUCUUUGCUUCUUUUUUCUUAGCAUCUUACGUAUAUGUUAUCAAGAAAUGAGAGAUUGAUAGUGUUAUUAGUGUUCUUGUUUGCUAAAUUUUGUAUAUUGUUAUCAAGAAAUGAGAAGAUUGAUAGUGUUAUUAGUGUUUUGUUUAAAUUUUGUAUAUUGUUAUCAAAAUGAGAAGAUUGAUAGUGUAUGUGUCUGUUUGCUAAAUUUUUAUAUUGUUAUCAAGAAAGAGAAGAUUAUAGUGUUAUUAGUGUUCUUUUUUUGCUAAUUUGUAUAUUGUUAUCAAGAAAUGAGAAGAUUGAUAGUGUUAUUAGUGUUCUUGUUUUGCUAAUUUGAUAUUGUUAUCAAGAAAUGGAAGAUUGAUAGUGUUUAUUGUCUUCUUGUUUUGCUAAAUUUUGUAUAUUGUUAUCAAGAAAGUAGAAAGAUUGAUAGUGUUAUUAGUGUUCUUGUUUUGCUAAAUUUGUAUAUUGUUAUCAAGAAAUGAGAAGAUGAUAGUGUUAUUAGUGUUCUUGUUUUGCUAAAUUUAUAUUGUUAUCAAGAAAUGAGAAGAUUGAUAGUGUUAUUAUGUUCUUGUUUUGAUAAUUUUGUAUAUUGUUAUCAAGAAAGAGAAGAUGAUAGUGUUAUUAGUGUUCUUGUUUUGCUAAAUUUUGUAUAUGUUAUCAAGAAUGAGAAGAUUGAUAGGGUUAUUAGUUUCUUGUUUGCUAAAUUUUGUAAAUUGUUAUCAAGAAAUGAGAAGAUUGAUGUGUUAUUAGUGUUCUGUUUUGCAAAUUUUGUAUAUUGUUAUCAAGAAAUGAGAAGGUUGAUAGUGUUAUUAGUGUUCUUGUUUUGCUAAAUUUUUAUUGUUAUCAAGAAAUGAGAAGAUUGAUAGUGUUAUUAGUGUUCUUAUCAAGAAACGUUUGACGCUGACCCUUUAGCAAAAUCUCUCAAAAUGAAAGGCAUGCCAUGGGGAAUUCUCCAUGGCUUCUUUCAGUCAAAAAGGAUAUGGAAGAUCACACAAGUCGAUGUAAGCCAUGACCACUGUUCGUUUGAAUUUAUGAUGGUUUUCAAAGGCCACACCAUUGCUCUUCCUAUAUUCGUACGCCAUCUUUAGGACUCUAUUAUGUGGUUAUUUCUUGCUUUUUUUCUUUAGCAUACAAUCUUAUAUUGUUAUAGAAAAAAGAAAGAUUGAUAGUGUUAUUAGUGUUCUUGUUUUCUAAAUUUUGUAUAUUGUUAUCAAGAAAUGAGAAGAUUGAUAGUGUUAUUAGUGUUCUUUUGUAAAUUUUGUAUAUUGUUAUCAAGAAAUGAGAAGAUUGAUAGUGUAUUAGUGUUCUUGUUUUGCUAAAUUUGUAUAUUGUUAUCAAGAAAGAGAAAUUGAUAGUGUUAUUAGUGUUCUUGUUUUGCUAAAUUUUGUAUAUUGUUAUCAAGAAUGAGAAGAUUGAUAGUGUUAUUAGUGUUCUUGUUUGUCUAAAUUUUGUAAUUGUUAUCAAGAAAUGAGAAGAUUGAUAGUGUUAUUAGUGUUCUUGUUUUGCUAAAUUUUGUAUUUGUUAUCAAGAAAUGAGAAGGUUGAUAGUGUUAUUAGUGUUCUUGUUUUGCUAUUUUGUAUAUUGUUAUCAAGAAAUGAGAAGAUUGAUAGUGUUAUUAGUGUUCUUAUCAAGAAACGUUUGACGCUGACCCUUUGAAAUCUCUCAAAAAUGAAAGGCAUUGCCAUGGGAAUUCUCCAUGGCUUUCUGUUCAGUCAAAAGGAUAUGGAAGAUCACAACCAAGUCGAUGUAAGCAUGACCCUGUUUUCGUUUAUUUAUGAUGGUUCAAAGGCACACCAGCUUCUAUAUUCGUACGCACAUCUUUAGGAUUAUUAGUGAGUUAUUUCUUUGCUUCUUUUUCUUAGCAUACUAAUCUGUAUAUUGUAUCAGAAAAAGAAGAUUGAUAGUGUUAUUAGUGUUUUGUUUUUCUAAAUUUUGUAUAUUGUUAUCAAGAAAUGAGAAGAUUGAUAGUGUUAUUAGUGUUCUUUUUUGCUAAAUUUUGUAUAUUGUUAUCAAGAAAUGAGAAGAUUGAUAGUGUAUUUAGUGUUCUUGUUUUGCUAAAUUUUGUAUAUUGUUAUCAAGAAAUGAGAAGAUUGAUAGUGUUAUUAGUGUUCUUGUUUUGCUAAAUUUUGUAUAUUGUUAUCAAGAAAUGAGAAGAUUGAUAGUGUUAUUAGUGUUCUUGUUUUGCUAAAUUUUAUAUUGAUACAAGAAAUGAGAAGAUUGAUAGUGUUAUUAGUGUUCUUGUUGCUAAAUUUUGUAUAUUGUUCAAGAAAUGAGAAGAUUGAUAGUGUUAUUAGUGUUUUGUUUUGCUAAAUUUUGUAUAUGUUAUCAAGAAAUGAGAUAUGAGUGUAUUAGUGUUCUUGUUUUGCUAAAUUUGUAUAUUGUUAUCAGAAAAUGAGAAGUUGAUAGUGUUAUUAGUGUUCUGUUUUGCUUAUUUUGUAUAUUGUUAUCAAGAAAUGAGAAGAUUGAUAGUGUUUAUUAGUGUUUCUUGUUAUCAAGAAACGUUUGACCGCUGACCCUUUAGCAAAAUCUCUCAAAAAUGAAAGGCAUUGCCAUGGGGAAUUCUCCAUGGCUUCUAUUCAGUAAAAUAAGGAUAUGGAAGAUUGUUAUUAGUGUUCUUGUUUUGCAAAAUUUUGUAUAUUGUUAUCAAGAAAUGAGAAGAUUGAUAGUGUUAUUAGUGUUCUUGUUUUGCUAAAUUUUGUAUAUUGUUAUCAAGAAAUGAGAAGAUUGAGAGUGGUAUUAGUGUUCUUGUUUUGCUAAAUUUUGUAUAUUGUUAUCAAGAAAUUAGAAGUUUGAUAGUGUUAUUAGUGUUCUUGUUUUGCUAAAUUUUGUAUAAUUUUAUCAAGAAAUGAGAAGAUUGAUAGUGUUAUUAGUGUUCUUGUUUUGCUAAAUUCUAUAUAUUGUUAUCAAGAAAUGAGAAGAUUGAUAGGGUUAUUAGUAUUCAUGUUUUGCUAAAUAUUGUAUAUUGUUAUCAAGAAAUGAGUAGAUUGAUAGUGUUAUUAGUGUUCUUGUUUUGCUAAAUUUUGUAUAUUGUUAUCAAGAAAUUAGAAGAUUGAUAGUGUUAUUAGUGUUCUUGUUUUGCUAAAUUUUGUAUAUUGUUAUCAAGAAAUGUGA